AACGAACGCUGGCGGCAGGCUUAACACAUGCAAGUCGAACGCAUCCUUCGGGAUGAGUGGCAGACGGGUGAGUAACGCGUGGGAACGUGCCCUUUAGUUUGGAAUAACCCAGGGAAACUUGGGCUAAUACCGGAUACGCCCGAAAGGGGAAGAUUUAUCGCUGAAGGAGCGGCCCGCGUCUGAUUAGCUAGUUGGUGAGGUAAUGGCUCACCAAGGCGACGAUCAGUAGCUGGUCUGAGAGGAUGAUCAGCCACACUGGGACUGAGACACGGCCCAGACUCCUACGGGAGGCAGCAGU
rnacentral:rRNA from 1 species